CUUGCAAGCCAUCUGAGGGCACAGAAAAUGCUAUAUCCCAAAAGUUCACCUGGAUCCUUAAAAUGGUGAGUCUGUUUGUUCCCAAGGUGUUCUGACCAGGAGGAGGAGCAUUUGCGCAGGCAAGGAAGACACAAGACAGAUGUUUGGCAAGGAGGAUUCAUAGGCAUACCCUCACAUUGGAUUGAUUUCUUCCCUGCCCCUCUGUUUGAGUCUUGCAGUUGACUUUGGCUUUUCUUGGAGUGUGAAAAAGCUCUAAUACUCUGCUACUGCCUCCCAGAAGGGCAGUAUGUACAUGCUCCUAUGUGGUUCCUCGCAUCAUGCCCAGAUGGCAACACAGGAGUAAAAGCAGCCCUGUUCUGGUCACCUUCCCUAACCUCCAUCAGCACUGACAGGAGAACGUGACAGUGUGUGUACAAAGCAGAUGACCAGUGGGUUCUGACCAUCUCCUGGGUCACUGAAGGGACAACUUUGUCAUCAGAGUCAACCACUGACCAGAAGGGAAACAAAUAACAAAAGCAAACUGCAAAGAGGAAGACAGAGCAGGUAUGAGCAGCCAGUGCAAACUUCCUGGCCCCAUCCUGUGGGUCACAGCCAGGUUGGCCUCCACCUCUCUUGGCAUCUACGUUCCCAUGUGUCCUCAGCCUUCAGAGUGGCUGUGUUCCUUCUCACAGGCAGCACCUGGAAAAGCACUUCUUCUAGAAGGGCAGAACUUCUAAGAACUAAGUAGCCUUUGCUGUUGAAAUGCUUGGUGGGAAAGAGGGUGGUGUGUGCAAAGUGAAGAUGUAACAAGUGGGGGGAUGCAGGUGCUGUUCUGCUCAUCAGCAAAACAGUGUCAGCCAUGUCUCUGUCAAAGCUUUGUUGCUGGGAGGUGGCAUUUCGGUUCCUGCCACAUUGCAGGCUGCAGAGAGAAAUCCCACUCAGCUGUGAGCACAGUAAAAAGGCCACCCUAAUGGGUGUGAAUGCUGGAGACCUGACCUAUGUGCUCAAAAGAGCAGACAGACAACCAGCCUCGGAGGAAAACCUUUGAGAUGGAGAGCUUCAAGGUAAUUCACAACACCCUUAACCUCGAAAACAAAGGGUGGCCUUUGAAAUGCAUGACUGGAAUGAAGAUCAGGCACAUCAGUGCUUUCAUCUCAUUUUUGAUGGAGUAGCUUUGAGCUGAUGUGGAAGUCAUUUGAUCUGCCUGACCUUUUGAAGAAUAAUUUCUGUCAUAGAAUUUACAAGUUCUUAAUAAUUUAUUUCAAGAGAAGGUGCUGCAGCAAAAAGGCAACGCUGGAGCAAGGGGAGGGUUGUGCUUGAAAUGGGAAAUACAUCUGCCAAGGGUAGAGUUUCUCUGAAUGCCACUGAUGAAGAGUAAAGUUCGUUAAGGAGGGCAAAAUUAAAGGGAGUCAUCUUCCUCAACCUUCAAGCAAUUUUUACGGGCCACUUCACUUUCAAUCUUUUCAGGAUCUGUAUGAUCGAUUCUAAAAUCAAAAUAAAUUAUUUUGAUUUCCAACCUGAUCUCAUGGUAUCUCCUAGUCAGUAGAGGAAAUACUGAAAAUCCUGCAAGAGAUCCUGUUCUCAUAAAAUGCUCAGCCCAAUUUUGUAAAUUCAGGAGGUUUUGGAGAAGCUUCUGAAUAUUCACUCAAGCUGAACCCACACUCCAGACUGUGGUGUGAGCAGCUUCCUGCACUUCUGAGCUUCUGCUGCAUUGAAAAAUUUUACUGACUGUGGAAGAAUGAGGACAUGGAGAAAAAAGGACCUGUUGCCCCUCUGUAGUUAGGUGUCUGGAUAAAGAGAAGCACAGACAGUUGUUCCAGUGGGGAUGGAUAGAAUAAGUUCAGCAUGGUUAAUGGCCCUUUCUCAGUGACAUGCAAAUAAGUAUCUCUGAAAGCCUCCUCAGACCUCUUGGGAAGUAAUAAUUACAAAGGAUGCUUUGGUGGUGGUGGCUUAAGUUAAAAACUGAUAAAUAAUUACUGCUACUCUUGAAUAUUCAUGUGUCUCUGACAAGAAAAUAAAGUGUCACCUCUUCAGCCUCAUUGCUUUAGUUCCCAUCACACAAAUGUUUGAGCACCUCCCACACACUCAAAAAAAACCCAAAAAUAAACAGAAGAAAAAGGUGUUGCUUCCUCAACCUGGUAAGAAUGCAACAGUCUUCCAGGUUGGCUCUGACCUCAUGCCAGCAUGACUGCAAGCAGGACGUUGUACUUCUCUGCAUUUCCAAAUCACAGAUUUGUACACAGUUUGCUGACCUGUCAAUAGGAUCUCUGGUGUCUGGGCUGAUAAGGGAUCCACCUUGACCUAGCUGGUGUUGCUCAAAAUCUCCUCUGCUUAUUUUGAACCAACUCAAUGCAGAGCAACGUUUCCCAUCUGGAAAUCAUUAGCAUA
ensembl:lncRNA